AGUUUUAAGUAUAUUAGGUUCUGCACAAGCCCAGGAAUCCCUCACUUGCUGACCCCUUGUUCUCAUUCUUAAGUUCUAACUUUUUUUUUUUUUCCACAGCUGA